ACAUGGCUCCUUGUUUUCUUACAUAAGGAGUCGGACCUGCUCGGUGAAUAUAUUUUAACAGCCGCGGUACUCUGACCGUGCAAAGGUAGCAUAAUCAUUUGCCUUAUAAUUGAAGGCUAGUAUGAAUGGUUUGACGAGAAUUAAGCUGUCUCUUUUUAACUAAAUAUAACUUUAUUAAGAGGUGAAGAAGCCUGUAUUUUAUUGAAAGACAAGAAGACCCUAUCGAGCUUUAAAGAAUUUAGUAGAUUUACCAUAUAUUAAUAAAAAAGUAAAGCAACUAAAUAUUUUGGUUGGGGCGACUGAGGAACAAACAAAGCUUCCUUUAUGCUAAUUAAAACUUACAAGUAUUGAUCCAAUUUAUUUGAUUAAAGAAAUUAGUUACCGUAGGGAUAACAGCAUAAUCUCCUUUGAGAGUUCUCAUCGAAAAGGGGGUUUGUGACCUCGAUGUUGGACCAGAAUACCCAGAAGAUGCAGCCGUCUUCAAUGGUUGGUCUGUUCGACCAUUAAAAUUCUACAUGA
rnacentral:rRNA from 1 species